rnacentral:rRNA from 1 species
UACGUAGGGUGCAAGCGUUGUCCGGAAUUAUUGGGCGUAAAGCGCGCGCAGGCGGUUCUUUAAGUCUGGUGUCUAAGUGCGGGGCUCAACCCCCGUGAUGCACUGGAAACUGGGGGAACUUGAGUGCAGAAGAGGAGAGCGGAAUUCCACGUGUAGCGGUGAAAUGCGUAGAGAUGUGGAGGAAUACCGAUGGCGAAGGCAGCCUCCUGGGCCAACACUGACGCUCAUGCACGAAAGCGUGGGGAGCAAACAGG